GAUGAAGAACGCAGCGAAAUGCGAUAAGUAAUGUGAAUUGCAGAAUUCAGUGAAUCAUCGAAUCUUUGAACGCACAUUGCGCCCGCCAGUAUUCUGGCGGGCAUGCCUGUCUGGGCGUCAUUUCAACCCUCAUGCCCCUAGGGCGUGGUGUUGGGGAUCGGCCAAAGCCCGCGAGGGACGGCCGGCCCCUAAAUCUAGUGGCGGACCCGUCGUGGCCUCCUCUGCGAAGUAGUGAUAUUCCGCAUCGGAGAGCGAUGAGCCCCUGCCGUUAAACCCCCAACUUUCCAAGGUUGACCUCAGAUCAGGUAGGAAUACCCGCUGAACUUAAGCAUAUCAAUAAGCGGAGGA
rnacentral:misc_RNA from 1 species